GUUAUAACGGAUGAUAGACAUUUACAGAUCUGUUCUGUGUACGCAUUUGCAGAUCUGUGUACGCAUUUACAGAUUUAUGUACGCGUUUACAGAUCUGCGUAAGCAUUUACAGAUUUAUGUACGCAUUUACAGAUCUAUGUACAAUCUGAUUACGCAUUUGCAAAUCUGAUUAUGCAUUUGCAAAUAAUUCUGCUACAAUAAUAGCCCCAUAGCGGACUUCCUAACGGAAUUCUCUCUUGAUUUUUGGUUAUUGUAUCACGCGCUGUGCAGUGAGGCUACAGUUACGAUAACGUAUCGCAAAAGUAUCAUUGGAAAUCUGUCUUUUCGACGAAUGCCUCCCUCUCGUCCACUGAGAGGGCCAUAUGAAAAAAAUGGCUUAUCAACGAGAGAUGUCCUGUGCCGAGACAAAUGCUGUCAAACAGAAGACAAAAAAGUAAAAUUGUUAAAAGAUGUUAAGGAUAAGGUCGACCAGGAUACAACACAGUCAGCUGCAAUUCAUGCAGAUGAUGCCCUGGCUGAGGGUGAAGAACUAAUCCAUCCAGGUGCAACAACUACCAAGAGCCAGAGUCUGCUUGUCAUCAUGCUGUUUGUGUUGCGUCAUCAUUUGACAGGUGCUGGUUUAGUUGAUCUCCUUGGUUUGCUGAAUUUACAUGUCCCUAAUUGGUUCCAGCAUCAAAAUGUCUUUUCAAUACGUUUUUUGGCAAUCCAGCUCUGUCUUGUGUUGCACAUUUCUACUGUGAAGACUGCCAGAAUUACUUAGGGAAAGAACCUGACAACAUCACUUGUGCACACUGUUAAAAGGUUUUCAACAAAGAAUCAAGUCUUAAAACAGGAAAUUUCUUUUUAUCCAUUGGCACUAAGGAUCUGCUUGUGAACACAUGAGAGGACCACGGAGUCAGUUUAAUUUAAAAGACUGUCAAACAAGGUAAUCAUGACAUUAAAGACAUUAUGGAUGGUAGAAUGUACCAAAAUCUUCUCAGAAAUGGAACCAUAGGGAAGAGUGAUUUAAUGUUAACAUGGAAUUGUGAUGGUGUUCCAAUUUUUAAAUCCUCAAAGUACUCUAUUUGGCCCCUUCAAAUAAGUGUAAAUGAACUGCCAUUCAUUCAAAGGAAAGAACAUGUGAUGGUUGCAGCUCUUUGGUUUGGCUCAGAGAAACCACGUAUACACACAUUUUUGAAACCUUUUGUUGAUGAAUGCUGUGGUCUUGCCAAGACACCCAUAACAUGGACAGAUAGCGGUGGCAUUUUACAUCAGUCCAGAGUUUGUUUGUUUAUUAAUUAAUUAAUUAAUUAAUUAAUUUUUUUUAAAUUAUCCUUUAUUUUAGCAGGGGGGGACCCACUGAGACCGAAGUCUCUUUUCCAGGGGGGCCCUGCGGCAAUACAAGUCACAAAAAAGAAAAUUUAAAACAUACAUGUGCGCAAACAUACACAUAUAUGCACACUCACGUGAAGAAAAUGAAUAUCACAAACUAUACAGUAAUGAAACUAAGUAGUUGAAACUUCAAAUAUACAAUACACAUACACGCAUACGCAUACCUAAACAUUGUCUGCAAAUACCUUCCUUCUCUAUCAAUUCAGCCACUAUCUUUUUAAAAUACUUGCAGGGCACCAGAGAAGACCGUUUAGCUGUGUCCUGGAAUUCGUUCCACAUAAGGGGUGCAGCAAUACUAAAGGCAGCCUUACCCCAGUCAGUCCUAUAUCUUGGUAGUUUUCCCCCUUGUUUGUUCAUCAGAUGCAGUUGCUAGACCACUACUUUGUAACUGUAAACAGUUCAACGGAGAAUGUGGUUGUGAUUGGUGCCUGCAUCCAGGUGAAGUUGUUCCUAAAGGCUUUUGUUCGAUCAUACCCCUAUAGUGACCAGUUACAGAUUGCAAGAUCACAUGAGACAUUUAAGAACAAUGCUUCUUUAGCAGUGCAGUCAGUUUAUACCCCAGAUAAUGGUGUGAAAGGACUAGCAACACUCUUUUUACUUCCCUUUUUUGACAUGGUUUUUGGAUUUGUGCCAGAUUAUAUGCACUUCGUUCUGCUUGGAGUUAUUAGACAACUCAUUAUCCUUUGGCUAGACCCACUGAAUUGUUUGCAACCAUGGUAUAUAGGAAGGGAGAUCAGACAACUGGAUGAAAAACUGCUCAGUAUAAAGCCACCCAGAACACCAUGGUCACUUGACACUUGAAAGUUUUGGAAAGCCUCAGAAUGGCGAUCUUUCCUUUUGUUCUAUGCAUUGUCUAUUCUACCAGGUAUUCUCUCAGAAAUGUUUUUAGACCAUUUCUUUUUGUUAGUCCUCAGCAUGCACAUUCUUCUCCAGGAAAGGAUUUCCGUUCAGGACAUGAAAUUAGCAUACAAAACUCUGUGUAUGUUUGUCCAAAAAAUGGAAGACUUAUAUGGAAAACAAAAUAUGAGUUUUAACGUGCAUCAGCUUAUUCACCUCAGCACAAGUGUCCAAAACUGGGGGCCCCUUUGGACAACAUCAUCUUUUAAUUUUGAAAAUAAUAAUAGCACACUUAAAUCUGUACAACGGUACCCAAUUUCUUCCUCAGCAAAUAUGCAAAAUCUUUGGUGAGAUAUACAGAGAAUUUGGCCAAUUCAUAGCCAAACUUGCAGACUAGAAAAUAAGAAGGGGUAAAAUUUCCAAUACUUGUUUAACUUUGGAUAAAUCAAGUAGCAUACACUUGACUGCCUCUAUUCAGCUUGCUGUAGAAGAACAUCAAGAAAUAUACUCAUUAAAGUUAAGAUGACUAGGAGGACACGUGCAUAUCUGCUGGCAGACAUGCAAAUGUAAAUACACAUAAAUACACGAACGCAAAUGUAUUUAUGUGGAUGGCUGUCUUCAUCCACUUCCUAACAGAUAUGAGAGAGAUUAGCAACACAGUUGUCUAAGGAAAAUAUGGCUAAUGAUCUGGUGGCAGUGUGGACACAGCUAAAUUUAAGCCAGGGUUGUCCAAACAUGGUCCUUGGAAUUUACUGUAAUCCCAGCUUCACAAGUGGACUCUUAAUCUGUCUAGUGCCAUUAUAAGAGCUUCACAAACUAUUAUCUGGAUAACCAAGUGAUGACUACAUGGCUUAUAACCUAUAUAUACAAAAUAUAUAUUUCUAUAGAAUAAUGCAUUUGUAUAUAGGUUCUACAAGUCUGUAUAUAAUACACAUCUAUUCUACAUCUCAAUUAAUCUUCUCAAUUUGUCUUCCAAUCUACUACAUGCAGGAAGGCAAACUGCUCUGUCAGUACAAUUGAAGCUUGGUAAAGCCCUACAAUAACUUGAUCACUUUGUUUCCUGUAAAUAAUACAGUACAUUGCAUAUAUGAUUUUGAAUAAACUGCAUUUAGGUCCAGUGUUAUGCAUCUAUGAGUGUGUGUGCAUUGUGUUUUGUGUGAAUUAGACUACAUAUUUAUUGUUACAGACCACUUCCUUUCAAUAUUUUCUUAAAUUUGUUAUAAAGUAAUUUAGUCAAACUUAAUGUUCCUUAUUCAGUGUGGAUAUUCAGCCCAUUA